GUAGGUGAACCUGCGGAGGGAUCAUUACACAAUAUGAAAGCGGGCUGGCAUCCUUCGGGGUUACAGCCUUGCUGAAUUAUUCACCCGUGUCUUUUGCGUACUUCUUGUUUCCUUGGUGGGUUCGCCCACCAUAGGACAAACCAUAAACCUUUUGUAAUUGCAAUCAGCGUCAGAAACAACGUAAUCGUUACAACUUUCAACAACGGAUCUCUUGGUUCUG
rnacentral:misc_RNA from 1 species